GUCAAAGGCAGCGUCCCUGCUGAUUUCCAGCCACAAGGAGAGAGGCACCUGGACAAAGCAACAGGAUGUGUCUUGAAAACUGUAGCAACUGACCUUUAAAACUCCAGAGGCGAACCGUGCCUAUCUCGAAAUGUUGAGGUCCUCAUGCUCAAACGAUUGUUUCACCGGCCCCAUGGAAAGCCAACAUCAGCAUCCGUGUGCACGCUGGCUUCACCGGCUUGGCUGUUCCAUGGGGAAAUGCACAUCACAAUUACGCGGUUCACCGGCCCCGUGGAAAGACAACAUCAACAUCCGUGUACCCGCUGGCUUUCCCUGGCUCGGCCAUUCUGUGGGGCAGUGAAGCUGGUCGCUGGCUCGAAGCCCCCGGUGUUGGCCACCAGACAGCAGGGCCAGGCACUCCCAAGGGUCAGCUCACCCACCACCAGCUUUCCGGAGGCUGGAGACAGCAGGAGCUUUCUCUUCAGCAAUCCGCAGGCUUCCAUCUGCUCUCUGUCUGGUUUUGGGGAAGGGGAGGUGAGUCCUGAACUGGUUGUUUUCUGGCAGCUUGCCAUUGCUUUCUGGGAAGAGGAUUUGCUGAAUUCCUCACGCUGCCGGAGGGAUGUCCUGACACCCGCCCUGAUCACAUUUGAAGGCACAUGGUUUCUGCAAUCUGAGGACCCAGCACUGUGAGUCUGUGGCCCAGAGGGAUUUUGAGAAGACCGGAUUGGAAGGCAGAGCACAACGGCUUGUUUCCAGAAAGUUGCUGUGGAUCCUCAGCCUCCUCCUAUUUUUGAAUCAAAGUCCUGAGAUCUUUAAAAUGCCAGCAACGUGACAAGGAGCAGAUUCCUGGCGCUCCUCACCUGUGCUAGCCCCAGGGACCGCCGCCUUUCGUGUCACACAGUGGACGUGAGCUCCACGCAGGCAGGGACCAUGGCGGGUCACGCUCGCUGAUGAAGCUACGGGGCUGGCAGAAUGAGGCUGAGCCUCCCUCUCCUGUGACCUGCUGUCAUCCUGGAUCUUCUUCAGCUCCUCAGAUAGCAGUGAAUAUUCCUGGGAGCAGGGCAGCAGGAGGGCGCCUGAGUGCCGGGACCCUGUUUUCUGGAGGACCGCCGUGACAGCCUGGCAGGGCACAGAAGGGCAGAUCUCUAAGCCUCAGGGUCCUGUUGGUGAGAUGAGGACAGCACCGGCCCCCCCGUGGUCUGUUGGAGGAGUCAGUGAUAACUUGCAUGGGGAGCAGAGGCCUGGCCAAAGGUGGAGGUGCCCAGUGACGGGGCUCCUUCCCCCGAUGGGCGGCCAAGCUGAGCUUCCCUGCGCUCCUGGGACGCACCCUCCCCACCUCGUCUCUCCGCUCCCCAGAUAGAGGGUACCUCAGCUCCCAGGGGCCACCUGCGCAGGGCGGUUUGGUGAUGUGAUGGGCGGUGUCGUUGGUGAGGAUGGUGACUUUGUGGGUUUGAUCCCGGGGCUCCGAGUGUCAUCUCAGUGACCUCGUCUUCAUGCCUCCACGUAAGGUCAGCUGCUGCCCCCAUUUCACAGGCUCAAAGCGGACACGGAGACCUUGGCUGUCAGAGACCGCGACAUACACCGUAGCAUCGUGUUUAUGUUGUGACCCAGAACCUUCCCUCUUGGGACCUGUGCUAAAGAAAUAAAGGUUUAUGGACGCAGACGUUGCCUUCAGCAGGACGAUGGGAGUGAGAAGCUGGAAGGGCCUGCGUCCCACAGAGGGACUCUUGGGAAAUUCUGACAGGGACACAGAAGAAGAAGAGGAUUGACUGACAGUGUCGCCCCUGGGGAAGUCAGGUUCCAGAAGAGCACACGCCCUGGAAUCCUCCUUACCUGAUACCCACCCCUGCACAUGCACACAUGGGCACACUGGCGUAUACAUGUGCACACACGCACGCACACACGUGAACAGGCAUCAGACCCACAUAUGCUCAUGCACACAGGGCACAGGCAGACACACACUCACUUGCACAUGUACACACUUGCACAUGCACACACGUGCACACAAAGGGAAAGGACUGGAAUGGUGAACACCGCCUGUUAAGGGCACUCCUGAGUUUCCACUUAAUUCUUAAUUCCUG
rnacentral:lncRNA from 1 species